UUGAAACAUUGUAAAGGAAAGUUGAGCUGGCUCUUCACGAGCAUGUGCUUGCUUUUCUUUCAAUCUUCAUCCACCUGUGCACUUUUUGUAGAGAGUUUGAGAAAGAAGGAUCGUAAGAUCUUUCAAGUAUCAGGCUUUCUAUGUAUUUACAAACUCUGAAUGUAUGUCAAUGAAUGUCUUUUACAAGGUACUUAACUGGACCUUUUAAAAACUAUA
rnacentral:misc_RNA from 1 species